UACGUAGGGUCCGAGCGUUGUCCGGAGUUACUGGGCGUAAAGCGCGCGCAGGCGGUUUUUUCAAGUCAGUGGUGAAAUCCUGGAGCUCAACUCCAGAACUGCCUUUGAUACUGGCGAUCUCGAGUCCGGGAGAGGUGAGUGGAACUGCGAGUGUAGAGGUGAAAUUCGUAGAUAUUAGGAAGAACACCGGUGGCGAAGGCGGCCCACUGGAUCGGUACUGACGCUGAGGUGCGAAAGCGUGGGGAGCAAACAGG
rnacentral:rRNA from 1 species